UACGUAGGGUGCGAGCGUUGUCCGGAAUUAUUGGGCGUAAAGAGCUCGUAGGCGGUCUGUCGCGUCGGUCGUGAAAACCUGCAGCUUAACUGUGGGCGUGCGGUCGAUACGGGCAUGACUGGAGUUCGGCAGGGGAGACUGGAAUUCCUGGUGUAGCGGUGAAAUGCGCAGAUAUCAGGAGGAACACCGAUGGCGAAGGCAGGUUCUG
rnacentral:rRNA from 1 species